AUCCAAACAAGAAUAGCUGCCGCCUUCAACCACGACCACGCGAGAUCUGAGAAUGUUUCGAGUCGGGGGGAGCCUUAAAAAAGUAAAUCUGCUGCAGUGAUUUUCAGUCAAGUAGGAUUUGUAUUGAAGUUAAGUAAAACCUUGGUAAUUUCACGACCUAAAGCCGAAAAAACGCAGGAGUUAAAAUAAACAGGAUAUUUGUAAGAAUGCCAUUCAAAAAUGCCAGGAAGAAUACUGCACGAGUGUUUACCAAUGUCCCAAUGAUAGACCAGUAUGAGUAAACUUUUCUAACAGAUGAGUUAAGAACCAUUCUUUUCACUCUACAGAGAAUCUUAGCAAUGUAAUGUGCUACUAAUAUUUUAUCUAUUCCUUGCAAAUGCAAUUUGUUUUAUUGUUCGUUGUCAGAAUCAGCAUAGGUUUGCCUUUUUCAACAUGGGAGAGCAGUUCCAUUGAGCCUUUGCUGACUUGCAGCCCAUUAUCAUCCUUCAAUUUUAUUAUUUGAGUUGACACAAUCGAGGCAACCUUAUGUUACAUGAUAAAGGAGCCGUUUGUGGUGUUCAACGUGCAGUGGAUUUGCAGCCAGUUCCGGUUGGUCAUACUCUUUUUAAAUUGCUGCUUCGACACUUCCGGUGGCUUGAAAUGGUUUCUGUACACCUUGAAAUUUAAUCGGAGCACUAAUAUUGAUCAAUAGAAGGAAAAGAGGAGACUUCAAAACUGAGUUCCAGACGAAACCGUUCCUCCCAAAACUAGUGGCAGGCAAGAUACCAAAAUGGACGAUUUAUGGAAGCGUGUCUCGCCAGCCAAGAAAUUUCCCAAGUUAUUGAAAGACAUUCAUCAUUGAAAGACCGAUCCGGACCGAUCCAUCACCAGAGCCAGUAUCACCGACACUGAAGAGGAAUCACCCAACGAACGUCAUCAAAGUGGAAGCAGAGCUGACAGCAAAGGGACUCAUGCUGCACGGAGGAAAGUUUAAUCGGCAGCGGUUUAUCCUGCCGAGUAUCAGAUGAGGUGGGACCAAUUAGAAGAUUGGGUGAUUCUGAAGAAGCAAAACUUGUCAGACCAAGAAUCGACGCAAGUAGUAUCAGUUUCCAUGACAACAAAAUCCCCAUCUGUAAAUGACAUUUGAAAUUUUUGAAAUUUUCGAAAUAACAUGACAUUAUUAAUAAUAACAAGGAUGAUUGGUUUACUAAUAAUUAUGCAUACAUGUACUAUUUAAUUUUAUUUAAUUUUUUACUACCUUUGAAAUAGAACUCUGAUCUUUCGUUGUGCUUCGGUGAAGAGCAGCUGAAGUGUGACGGUAUGAACUGAAGUCUUGUCACGGCCAUUCGCCAUCGCCUGAGGAAAAUGAAAACUCCUGGCAGAAACCUAGCCUACCUUCUCACUGAUCAUCCCACUACCCAUCUUUGGAAGGACUGUAUUUCCACAACCUUGCAAACAACGUAAAACCGCAAACACAACUGUCAGGGCAUUAAAAUAUUUUAUUCGUACGAAUCAACAACUGACACAAGUUAUGCUAAGGAACUAUCAAUAGAAAAAAUAAUAACAAGGAAAAUUUCAUCAAUUAGGGCAACUGAUUGGUUACGGCCGAGGCGGAUCCGGUGACAGAAUUGUUAUGCAGACGGUAUUCAACACUACAUGGCCUCCUCCUAACGCCGACUGGCCAGAUGGUUCCACGCGAAAAAUAAUACAGCUCUGCCUGGCUUUAUUUUGCUUCUUCGAUGGAGAAAUAAAACAAUUGCCAAAUGGCUGAAAUAGUUCUAUCAAUAAUAGGUAAACCGAGAACAAAUUUAUACAGGAUUUGCCAUGGCUUCGGUGUCGGUAGUGAGUGAAGCAGCGAUGACACGAUUCAUUACCGGCAAGUUAAACACGAAACUUUAUGUCAACGACAUUAAACAUUUCAAGCCAAGCAAUUGUGCAACUAUUAAUUUCCAAUCUUUUAGACGACUUAAUUUUAGAAGAAAAUAUAGAAAUGCAAGUUCUGCUGUGGAUCUUCUCCAUCACAAACCAAGAUCACAUCUGCCGGACGAAUUGGCUAGUGGUCGCUGAUUUUUAUUCAGUAGGACGAGUUGCAGUAAUGGCAUGGGAUCAAACAAUACGCAUCAUUACAAGAUUGGACUUAAAACUCGUCACUGAAACUGAGCUGAGAACACUGGACCGACAAGAUCCCAAUGCCCAUUAUAGAGCCGCCAUUCCCAACGAGUUUUUGAGUCGAUUUAUUCAAAAAAAAAAAAGGAAAAGCACACUAAACAAGGUGGAGAUCUUUAAUAUAACAGUUGGCGACCAUCGAAAUUCCCCGGGCUGUUUCCUCAAUAUGGAGUUAUGGAAACACAUUACAGAUUCGAGGCUUUCUGUAUUCUCUCCAAUAAUAAAAAAAAACUAUGAGAAUUAUAUCUUCUCCAGCUAGAUAAUUUGACUGCUUAGGACCACGAGCGUUAAGAUUAGUAUUUUUGUAGAUAAUAUUCCUGCCCCUUUAAUUACGCCUUAAUAAAGGAAACGACGAUGUCUUUCAUGAUAUCCAGUGUUUAACAACAGGAUCGGCCCUAGACGAAAUUUACACACCCGUUCCUUCUCCCUCACACAGACAGAGUAUUGCAAGUCGUGCUUUCUCGGACCAAUAACCGGGGUUUUAAGCUGAAAGCAACCUUCCGCUAGUCGUUCGUUACGUUCAGUCGUUAACGGAUGCUAAAGACUCUGUCGGCUGUCACUAGGUAUCACUAGGUGGCUACAAAAAUUGUGUCCACCAGGUGGCAGAGUGUCUAAUCACGAGUGACGAAAUUUUCGCCAUUUGUUUCCGGUGCAGUUGGUGAGCUUGUGUUAGAGAAAUGGAUGCCGUCGCCGUGCGACGAUCAAGUAUCACUGUUUUUUAUUACGCCGGCUUGCGUGAUCUAAGGAGUGGCCAUCCAGAGAUGAAUGUAAAUUCGUUGCCUAGUGUUAUUUUUGCUUACAGUAGCCAUUGCACUCCACCAUUACACUCAACAUGUGGUCAAGAUAAACGUUUGUCUGCAAUGAUUAGCCACUUCCGUUUAUCAAAGGGGUAUCAAAAGGGAAACGAAUGAAAAUAGAAAAUCUGAAAAGGUCAUGAUCAGAUCUAUGGAAAAUAUUCUAGAGAAUGAAAAUAUUCUGUCUAGGGAAUUACGCCUCAAAAGAAAGAACUGCGGUUGCAAUCUUCAACAAUCUUGCGUAACAAUAGAAUAUCGCACGAAUUUUGAUGCUGAAAGACUUGGAAACCAUGCUGUCGACCACGUUGAGAAGCUGAGUAACAUUCUGCUUUUACAAUGGCACCUCUUAAUAAAAGGAACUUGAGCCAUCCAAUCUAGGACUUCCAUCAAAUCGUGCAGGCUGCUUGGAAGUCGCUUUUACCUUUGUCGUGAACAUCAUGAACACAUACACUAUUUGAAGGUUCAUGUUUACGUAGCAGACUAGCAGUGGUGUUGCUGUCCAAUGUGGCGUGUUGUUGCAGCCUAUGGUGGUGAAAGAUAUCUGCAUCAAGUUGCUGUUCCUUGUGCAUCCAAGGUGCUGCUUUUGUGCUACAGAAGUGACAUCUAAUAUUGUGUUUAAUUGCUAUUCGUGUCUUCGCAGUUUACCUUUAUAUAUUGAGAAGGAACAAAAAAAUAGUAAUACGGGGAGGUUUAUGUCAAACAAAUAAUAAACAUGUCCAGGAUGGGGGAAUGAGGAGGAAGUUGGGGUGGGGUAUUUGGUUAUGAUUUACUAAAAGAAGUGAGGUAUAUUUUUAAUGAAUAUGCAGUACUUGGUGAUAAAAUCUGUUGUUAACCUAUACCUUCCUGUCAACCUAUACUUUCCACUUACACAUCCACUCCUCAAACUCCAUAAGCACCAACAUCAAAUCCCACAUCCACUCACAUCUAUUCCUAAAACUCCACCAUCUCCAACAUCAAACUUACACAAACUUACACAAUUGUUGUAUAUUUAAUCAUAUUUAUAUUUAAAUAAAUAAAUUGUCAUUGUA